AAAAUUGCUAGCUUAGAAGUUGGGUCGUACAGGAGAUUCUUACAUUGUUGUUGUUCUCGAGGAAUUAGUCGCCUGCCUGGUUAGAUGGAUCCCAAAGUGUUUGUGAUUCAGAAGUUCAAAAAGACUGGAUGUGAACAGUGAACCUAGAUCGGCUCAGCCAUAAAAGAGAGUGCGGACAUUCUAAAGAUGAUUGUUACCAAGGGUGUGGCAGAGACUGCACAAUGUAGAGCAGAAUAAGCACCUGGUGCCACACAGCAAGCAGUUCUAGAGAUCACUACAGACUGCUUCUCCUUGGAAAUGAUCAUGCAUCAUGAAGAUUUGGGUUACAUGGACUGCAAUUUUGGUGUGCUCUCGAUCAUCUUCCAGUCGUGACCAAAUCUGGAAACCAGUUGAAUUUAGGCUUAUGCAGAACAAAGUAGAGAAAAGCCACUCUUUCUCCUCUUGUAUAAGUUUUUUUUGUUUGUUAAUAUUUCCCUAAUGUGUCUGGUAGCAUUUGAAGACAUAAAUGUGCUAUUUAUAACAAAUUCUUCUAAAGCAUGUCAACUUGUAGUCUGAAUGUAUGGGUAUGUGCUUAGGGACAUGAAUACAUGAUUCAAGCAGGUGGCUAUGACUGGAUCCGUAAGAACUAUGAAACGGCGACAAUGAUGAAUGGAGGGAGUUUGGAUAAGUAAGGCUUCUUGAAAGGUUUGGUGGGACAAUGAUGAUCACUGAGGAGGAAAGAAGCCGGAGAGAAUCAAUAUUUGAUGCUAUAUGGAUGAAAACCAGUGUCUGACAUGUGAACGGAAAUCACAUGACGUCUAAUUCAGUGCACAUUUAUAAAAUUAGAAUAA